rnacentral:rRNA from 1 species
GGUUUACCUGUGUGACUGCGUACCUUUUGUAUAAUGGGUCAGCGACUUAUAUUCUGUAGCAAGGUUAACCGAAUAGGGGAGCCGGAGGGAAACCGAGUCUUAAUUGGGCGUUAAGUUGCAGGGUAUAGACCCGAAACCCGGUGAUCUAGCCAUGGGCAGGUUGAAGGUUGGGUAACACUAACUGGAGGACCGAACCGACUAAUGUUGAAAAAUUAGCGGAUGACCUGUGGCUGGGGGUGAAAGGCCAAUCAAACCGGGAGAUAGCUGGUUCUCCCCGAAAGCUAUUUAGGUAGCGCCUCGUGAAUUCAUCUCCGGGGGUAGAGCACUGUUUCGGCUAGGGGGCCAUCCCGGCUUACCAACCCGAUGCAAACUGCGAAUACCGGAGAAUGUUAUCACGGGAGACACACGGCGGGUGCUAACGUCCGUCGUGAAGAGGGAAACAACCCAGACCGCCAGCUAAGGUCCCAAAGUCAUGGUUAAGUGGGAAACGAUGUGGGAAGGCCCAGACAGCCAGGAUGUUGGCUUAGAAGCAGCCAUCAUUUAAAGAAAGCGUAAUAGCUCACUGGUCGAGUCGGCCUGCGCGGAAGAUGUAACGGGGCUAAACCAUGCACCGAAGCUGCGGCAGCGACACUGUGUGUUGUUGGGUAGGGGAGCGUUCUGUAAGCCUGUGAAGGUGGCCUGUGAGGGUUGCUGGAGGUAUCAGAAGUGCGAAUGCUGACAUAAGUAACGAUAAAGCGGGUGAAAAGCCCGCUCGCCGGAAGACCAAGGGUUCCUGUCCAACGUUAAUCGGGGCAGGGUGAGUCGACCCCUAAGGCGAGGCCGAAAGGCGUAGUCGAUGGGAAACGGGUUAAUAUUCCCGUACUUGGUGUUACUGCGAAGGGGGGACGGAGAAGGCUAUGUUGGCCGGGCGACGGUUGUCCCGGUUUAAGCGUGUAGGUGUGUGUUCCAGGUAAAUCCGGUUCACUUUAACACUGAGGCGUGACGACGAGGCACUACGGUGCUGAAGCAACAAAUGCCCUGCUUCCAGGAAAAGCCUCUAAGCAUCAGGUAACAUCAAAUCGUACCCCAAACCGACACAGGUGGUCAGGUAGA